GCCAGGCUUCCUGGAGGGGUGGGGUCUGCGUUGGAGGCCCCCCAGCCGACCUUGGACCUUGUCGGGCACGUGGGUCUGGCUCGAUCAGCUGCAGGGCAGCAGCUCCCACGGCCCUCUCCUUUGGGACACUCUGGGGUCAGAUCCCGUCACCCACUGGGGCCGGGUGCUGCUGUGCGUCCCCGUUAGAGCAGAGGGCCCUGGCUAAGCACAGCCCCUGCCUCUCCUAAAUGGCAUUCAGAGUGGACCCUAAAUCCAAUGACAAGUGUUCUUAUAAGAGAAAGGCGGAGGGAGACUAGAGAAAGACUCAAGGAGAACGUCAUGUGAAGAUGGAGGCAGAGAUUGGGGUGAUGCCUCUACAAGCCAAGGAGCCCCCAAAAUUCCCUGGACCAGAUUCUCCCUCACAACCCUGGGAGGAACCAACUCUGCUGACAGCUCCCUCUUGGACAUCCAGCCUCCAGGACUGCGAGAAGUAAACUGCUAUUGUCUGCGCCCCGUCCGCAGUGCCUUGUUACGGCCGUCCGAGCGGACUCACACAGGUGGAUUUGGGAGGACCUAUCCUCCUGCCUUCUCAUUUUGGCCAAUUCAAAUAAACCUUUCCGCAUCUCCAAGCACUGCGUCUCAGUGACUGGUUUCCUGUGCAUCGGGCACACAAACUUGAGAUUAAGAGGUUCGGUAUCAGGAGUGAUGGUGAGUGAGGCCACCCCCGCUCUAUCCCUCAUUCCAAGACUCAAUGGGGAUGGUGCACCACAUGGUGCUUGUUGGUUUAGAGUGAAUGCUGCAUCCUGCAACGUGAUGCCCCAUUCUCAAAUGGUGUCAGCCCAGCGGUGGCCUCAGCUGAGCUUUCCAAAGGCAGCUCCCAUGCUCUGGGGGGCUGGCGGCCUCUGAGUGCUGUGGUCUCUGCUGGGAACUGCAUGGCCACAGGCCCACUGCCACACCUCCUGUCAAGUCAUAAAGUGGGUCCCUUGGUCCAGGGUGAUGCCAUGCACAUCCCGUGUUGGUGGGUCAAACACUUUAUAAGUCCUCAUAGAGUGGGGUGGGCUGAGAUCCUGUGGUCGGGGAUGAUCAGCCUGGUGUGUGUGUCAGUUCCACUGAGGAUGCAAAGCUGCCCCUUGCAGUGGGAAGUCUCCAAAGUGAGUGGUUUACCUGAACGCCCCCCUCAAGGGUGGCACCAUAGCUGGGGCUCAAUAGCAGCCUGUGACUGGCAGGUUGGACAUUUGGCUGCGGUCCUAGCUGGAUCAGCCUUGGUGGAUGAGGCCAUGCUGUUGGCCCCAUAGACAGCCUCCACGUCUGUCCCCAAGGCUACCCCAUUCAUUGGCCCAGUGGGCCAGCAUUUGGGAGGCCAGUGUCAGAGGCCAUUCUACCUGUCGGUUGCUUAUUGCCUCUCCUGGAGGACACAAACACGUGGUACCAAGAUCUUGCCCCUCACGGCCAAUCCCGUAGGUUUACCACGUGCCUCUUCCCCAGGGGCGCAGGGCAGGAUAACGGCCCCCCAGAGAUAUCCAGGGCUCCUUCUUACUGGGGGUGGAAUAGGACUCACUCGCGAGAUUGGUGGCCACGUACCAUGUACCCAACGCUGUGUCACUCUGCUCUAGCGAAGAUGUCAUAGCUGGCCCAGCAGCUGCCACUGGGCGACUGCUCGGUUGACUUAUGUACUGGUCAGGGUCCUCCAGAGGGACACAGCCAAUAGGAU
rnacentral:lncRNA from 1 species